rnacentral:sRNA from 1 species
GAGUGGCUGAUCCAAAGAGCCGGUGUAAGGGGUAAGAGAGCCGGCCGCGCAGGAUGUAUGAGACGCAGCCCCAGUGCCCUCCGGGCCUGCCCUCAUGU